rnacentral:rRNA from 1 species
CCCGGGUCUUGUACACACCGCCCGUCACACCAUGGGAGCGGGAUGUACCAGAAGUAGGUAGGCUAACCGCAAGGGGGCCGCUUACCACGGUGCGUUUCGUGACUGGGGUGG